UACGUAGGGGGCAAGCGUUGUCCGGAUUUAUUGGGCGUAAAGCGCUCGCAGGUGGUUCGUUGCGUCGUGCGUGAAAGACCCCGGCUCAACUGGGGAGGGUCGUGCGAUACGGGCGAACUGGAGGCCAGUAGGGGGAUGCGGAAUUCCGGGUGUAGUGGUGGAAUGCGUAGAGAUCCGGAGGAACACCAGCGGCGAAGGCGGCAUCCUGGACUGGUCCUGACGCUGAGGUGCGAAAGCGUGGGGAGCGAACAGG
rnacentral:rRNA from 1 species